UGCAUGGAGGCACAGCAUUCCCAACAGCUCAUUUGCUGUGAAUACUCUGGGUGCCAUUAAAACAUAAUAAUUUCUGCAAAAGGGCCUCGCUUUCCGCCUGUGCUCUGCUCCUGCUCCUGCAGAAAUGGUUUGCGUUGCUGAUGGGGCAGUAAUGCCAUGGGCCGGGUCUGGUAGCAGGAGGGGAUUUUUGGGGAGCAAUGAGGGUAUGCACAGCCAAAGACUGUCCCAAGAGUCCUUCACAGCCAUGCCACAAACACUGCCUGGGCAUGGGGUGUGUGGCAAUGGCCUGCACAGUUCCGCUGUAAGGAGGGAGAUUGAAAUGUGGGAGUUCCUGGCUUGGGUCAAGGUAUGUUUCUUUCUGUCCCUGCACACUGACAUAGCCAAAGCAUGCUCUGUACCAGAGCCAUCACUUCUUUCUUUCCUUGUCCCAGAGAUGUGCUGCAGAGAAGACUCAGAAGACAGAAGCACAGGGUGUACAGGGCAGUGCUGUGCUGCCAUGGCACCCAGCUCACAGCUCGGAGAGGACUUGGCUGGAGGCAGCUCCGUCCAUCCAGAUGACAGGGAAGGCAUCAGGUCACGCCUGUGCAGUACCUGCUUCAGGCAAACCCAGGCCAUUGCCCUCUUGGGAAUCCCACUGGACCUACAGAAACUGUUGCAGGACCCAAAGUGACCAGGUGGCCCAACCCCAGUAGGCUGUGCCAGGGUUUCCUGAUGUUCCUGCUCCAUUCUGAUGAAACAUUAUACAGAAAGAUAUAGGCAAAGCAUUAUGCUCACAGCCUUUGCCAACAAGUUAUGUUUUAAUGUAAUUUAACUGUAAUCUCAGAGUGUUUUUGUUAGCUAUAAUUAGUAAAAUAUGUCUGUUUUCUGUGUUCCUUGAAGAUGUCUGAACUCCUGCCAGUUCCCUAUAGUUUUCCUGACAUGCAGUGUAACAAGCAGACCACCAAAAUGUAUUUACCAAUAACUGUUUAUUUACAUUCCAUGAAAUCUAAUAACAUUUGCUGUCUUCAUUCGGGAUAAAUGCUCGCCAAAGUGUAAAGCAUAAAAAAAUAAACACUGCCUUACUUUCUAA